GACGAACGCUGGCGGCGUGCUUAACACAUGCAAGUCGAACGGAAAGGCCCUGCUUUUGUGGGGUGCUCGAGUGGCGAACGGGUGAGUAACACGUGAGUAACCUGCCCUUGACUUUGGGAUAACUUCAGGAAACUGGGGCUAAUACCGGGUAGGAGCUCCUGCUGCAUGGUGGGGGUUGGAAAGUUUCGGCGGUUGGGGAUGGACUCGCGGCUUAUCAGCUUGUUGGUGGGGUAGUGGCUUACCAAGGCUUUGACGGGUAGCCGGCCUGAGAGGGUGACCGGCCACAUUGGGACUGAGAUAAGGCCCAGACUCCAACGGGAGACAGCAGUGGGGAAUAUUGCACAAUGGGAGGAAGCCUGAUGCAGCAACGCCGCGUGCGGGAUGACGGCCUUCGGGUUGUAAACCGCUUUCGCCUGUGACGAAGCGUGAGUGACGGUAAUGGGUAAAGAAGCACCGGCUAACUACGUG
rnacentral:rRNA from 1 species